CGGUAAUUCCAGCUCCCCGAGUGGUAAGGACGAUUAUUGGGCCUAAAGCGUCCGUAGCUGGCUUGAUAAGUUUCCCGUUAAAUCCGACGAUCCAAUCGUCGGGCUGCGGGAAAUACUAUUAAGCUAGGAGGCGGGAGAGGCCGGCGGUACUUUUGGGGUAGGGGUGAAAUCCUAUAAUCCCAAGAGGACCACCAGUGGCGAAGGCGACCGGCCAGAACGCACUCGACAGUGAGGGACGAAAGCUGGGGGAGCAGACCGGAUUAGAUACCCGGGUAGUCCCAGCUGUAAACGAUGCGGGCUAAGUGUCGGGAUGGCCAUAGAGCCAUCUCGGUGCUGCAGGGAAGCCGUUAAGCCCGCCGCCUGGGGAGUACGGCCGCAAGGUUGAAACUUAAAGGAAUUGGCGGGGGAGCACCACAAGGGGUGAAGCUUGCGGUUCAAUUGGAGUCAACGCCGGGAACCUCACCGGGGAAGACAGCUGGAUGAAUGCCAGAUUGAAGGUCUUGCAGGACUAGCUGAGAGGAGGUGCAUGGCCGUCGCCAGUUCGUGCCGUGAGGUAUCCCGUUAAGUCGGGGAACGAGCGAGACCCACACCCCUUAUUGCCAGCGGAUCCCUAGCGGAUGCCGGGCACUUUAGGGGGACCGCCACCGAUAAGGUGGAGGAAGGAGUGGGCCACGGCAGGUCAGUAUGCCCCGAAUUCCUCGGGCCACACGUGAGCUGCAAUGGCGGGGACAAUGGGCUCCAACCCUGAAAAGGGAAGGAAAUCCUCAAACCCUGCCUCAGUUGGGAUCGAGGGCUGCAACCCGUCCUCGUGAACAUGGAAUCCCUAGUAAUCGCGUGUCAUCAGCGCGCGGUGAAUACGUCCCUGCUCCUUGCACACACCGCCCGUCGCUCCAAUCGAGUUGGGUCUAGGUGAGGCGCGGUCUUGUUGGUCGUGUCGAACCUGAGCUCAGCAAGGGGGGAGAAGUCGUAACAAGGUAACC
rnacentral:rRNA from 1 species